ensembl:lncRNA
GCGUCAAUUUUAUCAUGGUGAAUAAGCCGAGGGUGAUGAUUGCUUCACGACCAAUUUGAAAGUUCUUUGCGACUCCCACUGGGGGAGAAAUGCGACAAUCGUAUCCAAAUAUCGGAGACGGUGGACAGGCGGCGAUGGUGGCUUGCAGUGUGAACGUAGCCAAAAGUGUAAAGUAUUUCAUAUGUACAGUACCAUUCAAAAGUAUAUCAGCACGUCUUAUCCAUUGACAUGAUAAAUAAAACCAUAGGGAGAAUUGGAGUCACUCUGAUCUUCAGGUACCACAGGACACGUGAUUGGAAUAAGGGAAAGAAGCUGAUGAUGGCUGGUUUGUGAGCUCCAGCAUGUGGCCUUGUGAGCACGCUGACACUGAAAAUUGAAAACAUGUCCUGACACUCUUAGCUGGGAAGACAUCACACAGAGACAGCUUUGAGAUUCUUACCAGCUUUCUCCGGAAUCUGACAACCAAUAAGCAGGGUUUUACUCUGCAGUGGUGUGUGAAAGAGAGACUGUUUCUGCCAUGAAGUCUCAGUCAAAUUGAAAUGACGCUGGCCUUUGAGAUGUCCAUCAUCUUUAAUAAUACCAAAUUACUGGCCCCUGCUGGAGCCUCCCAGCCACUUCUCACUACACUCAGACGACGGCAUGCCGAUGUUGAGGAUGUAACGGAGAGCGUGUACUUGGUGGGCAGUUGUCAGCUUCUCUUUACGGCUCUCAUACUAAACCCCAAAUUGAGCAUUCACUACACAGCUGUCAACAAAAGCCAAGAACAACUGUUUCAGCGGGACCUGGUUGUUGCAAAACAAGCAGUGGGCAUGAGAGAUUUGGGCAAGCUAGCAUACACACGUGCGUGUGAACAGUCCCAAAAGUUACAAACAUCUCGGUCAAAUCAAAGGUUAAUUUAUAUGUAAACUGAGACUUCUUGAAACUGGUUG